rnacentral:rRNA from 1 species
UACGUAGGUGGCAAGCGUUGUUCGGAAUUAUUGGGCGUAAAGGGCGCGUAGGCGGUUUGUUAAGUCGGUUGUGAAAGCCCGGGGCUCAACCCCGGAGAGUCGACCGAUACUGGCAGACUAGAGUACGGAAGAGGUAGCUGGAAUUCCCGGUGUAGCGGUGAAAUGCGCAGAUAUCAGGAGGAACACCGAUGGCGAAGGCAGCUCGCUGGGACGGUACUGACGCUGAGACGCGAAAGCGUGGGGAGCAAACAGG